CGCUCCUUUGGGGGCAAUUUUCCCCUCUAUGAAUGGCUAAAAUGUCCCGUUCCAUCGUCUCGCUACACAGCGAACAGGAAACUGGAGCAUGGGUGUUCAAAAAAUGUUCCUCCGCAUGUCUUUUAGGAACCAUAUCGCCGCAUAUUUUACAUUUUUCUAAAUUCCGCACACAAUGAACAGAAUGCAGAUCGAUAUUUGAUGAUGGAAUAUCUCUUCCGCAG
rnacentral:misc_RNA from 1 species